ACGGGAGGCAGCAGUGGGGGAUAUUGCACAAUGGGGGAAACCCUGAUGCAGCGACGCCGCGUGAGUGAAGGAGUAUUUCGGUAUGUAAAGCUCUAUCAGCAGGGAAGAAAAUGACGGUACCUGACUAAGAAGCCCCGGCUAACUACGUGCCAGCAGCCGCGGUAAUACGUAGGGGGCAAGCGUUAUCCGGAUUUACUGGGUGUAAAGGGAGCGUAGACGGCCAGACAAGUCUGAUGUGAAAGCCCGGGGCCCAACCCCGGAACUGCAUUGGAAACUGCCAGGCCGGAGUGCAGGAGAGGCAAGUGGAAUUCCUAGUGUAGCGGUGAAAUGCGUAGAUAUUAGGAGGAACACCAGUGGCGAAGGCGGCUUGCUGGACUGUAACUGACGUUGAGGCUCGAAAGCGUGGGGAGCAAACAGGAUUAGAUACCCUGGUA
rnacentral:rRNA from 1 species